rnacentral:rRNA from 1 species
GAUGAACGCUGGCGGCGUGCCUAACACAUGCAAGUCGAGCGAACAGACGAGGAGCUUGUUCCUCUGACGUUAGCGGCGGACGGGUGGGUAACGCGUGGAUAACCUACCUCUAUGACUGGGAUAACUUCGGGAAACCGGAGACAAUACCGGAUAAUAUAUUCAACCGCAUGGUUCAAUAGAGAAUGACGGCUUUGCUGUCACUUAUAGAUGGAUCCGCGCCGCAUUAGCUAGUUGGUAAGGUAACGGCUUACCAAGGCGACGAUGCGUAGCCGACCUGAGAGGGUGAUCAGCCACACUGGAACUGAGACACGGUCCAGACUCCUACGGGAGGCAGCAGUGGGGAAUCUUCCACAAUGGGCGAAAGCCUGACGGAGCAACGCCGCGUGGGUGAAGAAGGCCUUCGGGUCGUAAAGCACUGUUAUUAGGAAAGAACAGAUGUAUAAGUAUCUAUGGCUGUCUUGACGGUACCUAAACAGUAAGCAACGGCUAACUUCGUG